AACGUAGGAGACAAACGUUAUCCGGAGUUACUGGGCGUAAAGGGCGUGUAGGUGGUAAUGUAAGUCUGGCGUGAAAUUUUUCGGCUUAACCGGGAAAGGUCGUCGGAGACUGCAUAACUAGAGGACGGUAGAGGCGUGUGGAAUUCCGGGUGUAGUGGUGAAAUGCGUAGAGAUCCGGAGGAACACCAAUGGCGAAGGCAGCUUGCUGGGCUACUCCUGACACUGAGGUACGAAAGCGUGGGGAGCGAACAGG
rnacentral:rRNA from 1 species